rnacentral:ncRNA from 1 species
AAUGAUGGAAGAGAUAUUCGAGAAGUCUCUUUGAAUUAAUCAUCCACAUAUUCCUACACAUUACAAAGCUCACACAUAAUUGAGAUAUAUAUGAAAACAUGUAUAUUUUCUAAUAUUUAAUCAUAAAUUCACUUUUAAUACUAAAAUGAAUAAAGUGGAAAAUAAUGAUGUGAAACCCAAAUGUAUUUAUGAAAAGGGUAUGACAAAGGUUUAAUUGGGCAAUGAAAUGUAAGGAAUAGUGAAGGGAAAGGUGGAUGAAAAUACGACAUUUCUGAGUCCCAACAAUCAUCAGCUAAGGCCCCUAAAUGACCUCUCAGUGAUGAAGGAAGUACGAGUGCAAAGACAUCCAGGAGGUUUUCCUAGAAGCAGCCAACCUUGAAAGAGUGCGUAAUAUCUCACUGAUCGAGCGCUCUUGCACUGAAGAUGAAUGAGACUAAGCGAUAUGUCGAAUAUGUGGGAUGUAAAAAUACAUCGGUAGGGGAGCGUUCCACCUCAGAGGGAAGCACCGGUGCUAGCAGGUGUGGACGAAGCGGAAGCGAGAAUGUUGGCUUGAGUAACGCAAACAUUGGUGAGAGUCCAAUGCCCUGAAAACCUAAGGGUUCCUCCAUAAGGUUCAUCCACGGAGGGUGAGUCAGUGCCUAAGAUCAGGCUGAAAGGCGUAGUCGAUGGAAAACAGGUUAAUAUUCCUGUACUACCCCUUGUUGGUCCUGAGGGACGGAGGAGGCUAGGUUAGCCGAAAGAUGGUUAUCGGUUCAAGGACGCAAGGUGACCCUGCUUUUUUCAGGGUAAGAAGUGGUAGAGAAAAUUCCUUGAGCCAAUGUCCGAGUACCAAGCACUACAGUGAUGAAGUAACCCAUGCCAUACUCCCAGGAAAAGCUCGAACGACGUUUAACAAAUGGGUACCUGUACCCGAAACCGACACAGGUAGGUAGGUAGAGAAUACCUAGGGGCGCAAGACAACUCUCUCUAAGGAACUCGGAAAAAUAGCCCCGUAACUUCGGGAGAAGGGGUGCCUCCUCAGGAGGUUGCAGUGACCAGGCCCGGGUGACUGUUUACCAAAAACACAGGUCUCCGUAAAGUCGUAAGACCAUGUAUGGGGGCUGACGCCUGCCUAGUGCUGGAAGGUUUAGGAAGUUGGUGACCUGAUGACAGGGAAGCCAGCGACCGAAGCCCCGGUGAACGACGGCCGUAACUAUAACGGUCCUAAGGUAGAGAAAUUCCUUGUCGGGAAAGUUCCAACCCACACAAAAGGCGUAACAAUCUGGGCACUGUCUCAGAGAGAGACUCGGUGAAAUAGACAUGUCUGUGAAUAUGCGGACUAUCUGCACCUGGACAGAAAGACCCUAUGAAUCUUUACUGUUCCCUGGGAUUGUCUUUGGGUUCUUCUUGCGCAGCUUAGGUGGAAGGC